UACGUAGGGUGCAAGCGUUAUCCGGAAUUAUUGGGCGUAAAGAGCUCGUAGGCGGUUUGUCGCGUCUGCUGUGAAAACCGGAGGCUCAACCUCCGGCCUGCAGUGGGUACGGGCAAACUAGAGUGCGGUAGGGGAGACUGGAAUUCCUGGUGUAGCGGUGAAAUGCGCAGAUAUCAGGAGGAACACCGGUGGCGAAGGCGGGUCUCUGGGCCGUAACUGACGCUGAGGAGCGAAAGCAUGGGGAGCGAACAGG
rnacentral:rRNA from 1 species